rnacentral:tRNA from 1 species
GCCUCCGUGGCGCAAUCGCUAGCGCGUUCGGCUGUUAACCGAAAGGUUGGUUCGAGCCCACGGGGCGUG